rnacentral:rRNA from 1 species
AGCGAACGCUGGCGGCAGGCCUAACACAUGCAAGUCGAACGGUCCUUCGGGACAGUGGCGGACGGGUGAGUAACACGUGGGAACGUGCCUUUAGGUUCGGGACAACCCAGGGAAACUUGGGCUAAUACCGGAUGUGCCCUUCGGGGAAAGGAUUUAUCGCCUUUAGAGCGGCCCGCGUCUGAUUAGCUUGUUGGUGAGGUAAUGGCUCACCAAGGCGACGAUCAGUAGCUGGUCUGAGAGGAUGAUCAGCCACACUGGGACUGAGACACGGCCCAGACUCCUACGGGAGGCAGCAGUGGGGAAGUCUUGCGCAAUGGGCGAAAGCCUGACGCAGCCAUGCCGCGUGGAUGAUGAAGGUU